GCAAAACUCAGAUAGUGGAUCAAUUGCAUUUUCUUCGAGGGCUGGAUCAUCUUCUCAACGGACUUCACCUUUCCGUGAGGUUGGUGGAUAUGCUGCCGAACAGCUGUCUAGCAGUAGUAUCUGUAGCAGUCCUGAUGAUAACAGUUGUGACGGGAUUAAGCUUGAGGAGAGUGAAGCAUGGCACUUAAGAUUAGGUUAUUCAACCACUUGGCCUGGAAUGGUGCUUGCAGUCUGCCCUUAUCUUGAUCGUUUUUUCUUGGCCUCUGCGGCUAAUUGUUUCUAUGUUUGUGGUUUUCCAAAUGACAAUGCCCAAAG
rnacentral:misc_RNA from 1 species